rnacentral:lncRNA from 1 species
AUGGGGUCUAGAUGCCAGGCCGGGGAAGUCGCGCUGCCACCCGGCUGGCUGGGCCCUGCUCGGGGCUGCACCCACGGCCCCCCGCAGGUGCCGGCGCCGGUCCCCGCCGGGGGAGCUGCCGCCUCGCUCGGCCGCGAAGGGCGCCGCUGCCCUGGGCGCUGCGCCCGGCUGCAGCGUGCAGCGCCGAGCACAACCCGGCCGGCCCCGGCCCCGGGGAAGGGGCUCUGCCCCGCUGCCGGCGCCGCUCGCACCCGCCCAGGCGAGGCCCCUCCGGAGCCGCCGGACACGGGGCCGGGGCCGCGGCGGCCGCGGGGAGCAGCGUCCUGGGAAGUUUGGGGAAUUCCGCCUUUUGGAGGGAGGAAGGGAGGGAAACACCCCCCCGAUCUCCCCCCCUCCCCCCAAAAAACCAGGCGGGGGUCGACCCUGCGCAGGGCGCUGGCGCAGCCCGGCCGCGGCGGUCCCGGCGGGUCCUGCCCUUCCUCUGGCCCCGACCCCGGGCUGUGGCCCGAGCCGGCCCGGGAGCCCCGGCACCGCGCUGCGGUCCGGGAACCGGCAUCUCCUUACCUGCCGGUUUCACGUUUGCUGCCUGCCCUGCUCCGGCUCUUCCUCUCCUCCUUCCUCCUCCUCCUCCUCUCUCUCCCUCUCCCUGCUGCUUGGGGCUCUUUAUGGAGAUUCAUUCAUUCAUGCCUUCCCAUCGGUCCCUCAGCGUUUCCCUGCCUCCCGGAGGCAGAGCGUGUGACGCCUCGCCCCUUUCCAGCCACUUUCUCAUGUCAGAGAGAGGCGCUGCCCCAGCCUGGCGGGGCGGUCGGGCCGGGACACGCGUGGGAGCGCAGCCGCGGGGGCUCUCCCAUCGCGGGGGCGGCGUGGGGAGGACACCGGCCCGCCUGGGGGAACCCCCGGUGCGCGGUGGGCAGGCUCUCCCCCGAGCCCAUCACCGGAGUGUCGGGUCGCCCUUGGGGCUUUUCGUGCUUCUCCCUCCGCGCUCCUGAUGCGGGGCAUCUCCCCCCCACCCCCGGCCUCCCCAUCCUCUUCGCCGUGCCGUUGCCCAUCGCCUCGGCUUGA